rnacentral:rRNA from 1 species
GUCGAACGGAAACAUGUCUAGCUUGCUAGAUGAUGUCGAGUGGCGGACGGGUGAGUAAUGCUUGGGAACUUGCCUUUGCGAGGGGGAUAACAGUUGGAAACGACUGCUAAUACCGCAUAAUGUCUUCGGACCAAACGGGGCUUCGGCUCCGGCGCAAAGAGAGGCCCAAGUGAGAUUAGCUAGUUGGUGAGGUAAAGGCUCACCAAGGCAACGAUCUCUAGCUGUUCUGAGAGGAAGAUCAGCCACACUGGGACUGAGACACGGCCCAGACUCCUACGGGAGGCAGCAGUGGGGAAUAUUGCACAAUGGGGGAAACCCUGAUGCAGCCAUGCCGCGUGUGUGAAGAAGGCCUUCGGGUUGUAAAGCACUUUCAGUUGUGAGGAAAAGUUAGUAGUUAAUACCUGCUAGCCGUGACGUUAACAACAGAAGAAGCACCGGCUAACUCCGUGCCAGCAGCCGCGGUAAUACGGAGGGUGCGAGCGUUAAUCGGAAUUACUGGGCGUAAAGCGCACGCAGGCGGUUUGUUAAGCUAGAUGUGAAAGCCCCGGGCUCAACCUGGGACGGUCAUUUAGAACUGGCAGACUAGAGUCUUGGAGAGGGGAGUGGAAUUCCAGGUGUAGCGGUGAAAUGCGUAGAUAUCUGGAGGAACAUCAGUGGCGAAGGCGACUCCCUGGCCAAAGACUGACGCUCAUGUGCGAAAGUGUGGGUAGCGAACAGGAUUAGAUACCCUGGUAGUCCACACCGUAAACGCUGUCUACUAGCUGUUUGUGACUUUAAGUCGUGAGUAGCGAAGCUAACGCGAUAAGUAGACCGCCUGGGGAGUACGGCCGCAAGGUUAAAACUCAAAUGAAUUGACGGGGGCCCGCACAAGCGGUGGAGCAUGUGGUUUAAUUCGAUGCAACGCGAAGAACCUUACCUACACUUGACAUGUUGAGAAGUU